rnacentral:tRNA from 1 species
GCCGGGGUGGCGGAAUUGGCAGACGCAGAGGACUUAAAAUCCUCCGGAGCAAUCCUUGUGGGUUCGAGUCCCACCCUCGGCACCA